rnacentral:snRNA from 1 species
GCGGCUUUGGCAGCACAUAUACUAAAAUUGGAAUGAUACAGAGAAUAUUAGCAUGGCCCUUGCACAAGGAUGACACGCAAAUUCGUGAAGUGUUCCAUAUUAAA